rnacentral:rRNA from 1 species
GACGAACGCUGGCGGCGUGCUUAACACAUGCAAGUCGUACGGUAAGGCCCUUUCGGGGGUACACGAGUGGCGCACGGGUGAGUAGCACGUGAGUAACCUGCCCACAACUUUGGGAUAACGCUAGGAAACUGGUGCUAAUACUGGAUAUGUGCUCCUGCUGCAUGGUGGGGGUUGGAAAGCUCCGGCGGUUGUGGAUGGACUCGCGGCCUAUCAGCUUGUUGGUGGGGUAGUGGCCUACCAAGGCGGCGACGGGUAGCCGGCCUGAGAGGGUGACCGGCCACAUUGGGACUGAGAUACGGCCCAGACUCCUACGGGAGGCAGCAGUGGGGAAUAUUGCACAAUGGGCGCAAGCCUGAUGCAGCAACGCCGCGUGCGGGAUGACGGCCUUCGGGUUGUAAACCGCUUUCAGCAGGGACGAAGCUUUUUGUGACGGUACCUGCAGAAGAAGCACCGGCUAACUACGUG